rnacentral:rRNA from 1 species
UACGUAGGGUGCAAGCGUUAAUCGGAAUUACUGGGCGUAAAGCGUGCGCAGGCGGUUUUGUAAGUCAGAUGUGAAAUCCCCGGGCUUAACCUGGGAACUGCGUUUGAAACUACAAGGCUAGAGUGUGGCAGAGGGGGGUGGAAUUCCGACGGUGGUAGCAGUGAAAUGCGUAGAGAUGUGGAGGAACACCGAUGGCGAAGGCAGCCUCC